GACGAACGCUGGCGGCGUGCUUAACACAUGCAAGUCGAACGGAAAUGCCCUGCUCUUGUUUUUUUUUCGUUUGUCGCAAGCGUGUGUAUCACGUGUGUAUCCUCUCCUUUACUUUGGGAUACCUUCAGUAAACUGGGCCUAAUAUCCCAUAUGAGCUCCUGCUGCAUGGUGGGGUUUGGAGAGUUUCGUCUGUUCGGUUUAGACUCGCGGCUUAUCAGCUUGUUGGUGGGGUAGUGUCUUACCACGGCUUUGACAGGUAGCCGGCCUGGGCGGGUGGCCGGCACCAUUAGGACUGAAAUACGGCACAGACUCGUACGGGAGGCAGCGGAGGGGAAGAUUGCAUAAUGGGAGGAAGCAAGAUGCAGCAACGCGGCGUGGGGGAUGAGGGCAUUCGGGUUGGAAACCGAUUUCGCCUGUGGAGAAGCGUGAGUGACGGUAAUGAGUAAGGAAGCACCGGCUAACUACGUG
rnacentral:rRNA from 1 species